rnacentral:rRNA from 1 species
AGUGAACGCUGGCGGUAGGCCUAACACAUGCAAGUCGAACGGCAGCACAGUAAGAGCUUGCUCUUACGGGUGGCGAGUGGCGGACGGGUGAGGAAUACAUCGGAAUCUACCUUUUCGUGGGGGAUAACGUAGGGAAACUUACGCUAAUACCGCAUACGACCUACGGGUGAAAGCAGGGGAUCUUCGGACCUUGCGCGAUUGAAUGAGCCGAUGUCGGAUUAGCUAGUUGGCGCGGUAAAGGCCCACCAAGGCGACGAUCCGUAGCUGGUCUGAGAGGAUGAUCAGCCACACUGGAACUGAGACACGGUCCAGACUCCUACGGGAGGCAGCAGUGGGGAAUAUUGGACAAUGGGCGCAAGCCUGAUCCAGCCAUACCGCGUGGGUGAAGAAGGCCUUCGGGUUGUAAAGCCCUUUUGCUGGGAAAGAAAAGCAGCAGGUUAAUACCCCGCUGUUCUGACGGUACCCAAAGAAUAAGCACCGGCUAACUUCGUG